GAAAUGCAUACCUCUGAGUGUAUUUUCUCUGCAAGUCACAUUCCUAAAUACAUUUUAACAUUUGAAUAUAUUUUGAGCUGAUAAUUGUUUUGCAAAUGAGAAAAACGUACAAAAUAAAAUAAAGCAAAAUUGCAAUAGAAGUAAAAAAAAUUCUGUGAAAUUUCUCAGACACACACAAAAGGUAUGUGAGGUAUGUUUUCCUAGAAAUCUUUGUUGAAGAAGUAACAUGGGAAGAGAGGCAGUUUAGAAGAAUUUUCAUAUUAUUCCAUAUGCAUAUAUUUUGUUUCUGCAGAAUCAAAGCACGCAAUAUUUUUCAACAUUGGAGCAAAGCAUGAUCUUACAGGAUGUGAAUGGCCAAGUACCAAGACAUCUCUAGAUCACCUAGAAAAUGAAAACGAAUGACCAUUUAAACCAGGAAUAUGUGGAAGGAAGGUUAGACUAACACCUAAUUCAUUAUUUGCCUUCACAAAAUGCACAUUUUCCAUGUGAGCUGCAAAGCUGAAAAGAAGACUAGCUAUUGCCAAGGACAAAGACCCCUCACUGAUUUCUUUUGAAAUAUUAUUUCUCUUUUCACCCAGUGAAAUUUUGUGGGCCUUUAUAGCACCUGAAAUACUGAGAAAUACAGGGAAAGGGGAUGAAAACAGAAAAAUAAAGUACCUAAUAGAGAACUGGGAAAAUGAAGUUGAAAACCCAGCAUGGGUAAGUGAUAAUUCAAAAAUAUUUAAAAGGCUAUUGUAUAAAGAGGAUGGGGGUUACAACACUUAAAGGGCUGUUCCACAGUUCCGAUCAGCACCAAACUGGGUAAAAUGAAAAUGAUUAUGAAUGGAAGUCAUAAACUGACUGUGGAUUUUAAUGUAAUUAUAUAAUGGCACAACCAUCACAAUGAAAUAACUGAUUAGAUAAGGAGGGGGACAGAAUUAUUGCAAAACAAAACAGUAUCCUGAAAAAUCUUGAAACUACAUAAUUUUUUGAAUUGUUGUGGGGGGAGGAGCAUAUUUGCUCAUUCGCUGUCAAUAAUUUAUUUAUUUAUUUAUUUAUUUAUUUACAGUAUUUAUAUUCCGCCCUUCUCACCCCGAAGGGGACUCUGGGCGGAUUACAAUGAACACAUAUAUGGCAAACAUUCAAUGCCAACAGACAAACAACAUUCAGUUUUAUACAGACACAGAGGCAUUUUAACAUCUUUCCAGCUUCACGAUUCCGGCCACAGGGGGAGCUGUUGCUUCACUGUCCACUGGUGGCUGUUCUUCCUCAUUCUUUUCCUCGUGUUUUGCUGGCAGUUUUAUGGUGUUGUAAAUUAGUUAAAUUAGCCUCCCGCAUAAAGCGUACCUAAAUUUUCCCUUCUUGACAGAUGCAACUGUCUUUCGGGGCUGCAUAGGUCAACAGCAAGCCGGGGCUAUUUUUGAUGGUCGGAGGCUUAACCCAACCCGGGCUUCGAACUCAUGACCUCUCAGUCAGUAGUGAUUUAUAGCAGCUGGUUACUAGCCAGCUGCGCCACAGCCCGGUCCCAACUUCCUCAUUCCAACAUUGUAAAUUAGUU
rnacentral:lncRNA from 1 species